rnacentral:lncRNA from 1 species
CCAGGAGAGAGGCAAAGAUGUAAACAAGGAUCUGGCUCUAGAAUGUGGGGGAAAGAGAAAUGUCAGGAAGAUGAAACAAACAAAUGGGAGGGAAGAGGAAAAGAGUGAGUCCGUAGAGGACAGAGCCCCACAGUUCUUGGCAUCAGGAUCUGGGCAAGUAAUAGAAAAAUAAAGCUGGAUACCUAGAAAACACAGAGGACAUGGUGGAAGUAACAGGAGAGAGUGUGUGAGCUAGUCAGGGGCUAACCCAUUGCAGGUGGGAGAUGUAAAAUUUCACUGCUUUGAUUUUGAGAAGCUAUUGACUGUCUUUCUCAAAAUGUAGAACAGGUAACUCACCUAGGUGGCUGCUUCUACCUCAGGACACUAAAGACAGAAAGGGAUGAGAGGUUUUAGUACCUUAAUAAGGUUCAGCCAGGUCCCUGAAUCGCACCUGCCGUACAUUGAUCUUAGGCAGAAGCUUAAGCAAACCAAAUUAAAAUAAAGAUUGUUGAUUGGAUAUUGGAGAGGUGUUUGUGAAGAUAAUAAACCUGGGGUGCUGACUGUAUGAAGGUUGUGAGAACAAGCAAAAGCCCUGGCCACAGGAUCUCAGACAAACAUUCUGCAAUGGUGGCCAUCUCCAUUGGCAGUAAUAACUUUGUCAUGAAGAUGGAAAUACUACUGUGACUUUAGAGAUGUACAGACUGGGUCUUAGCAGAAAAAGUGACUUGCCAGCUAUCAGAAGGCUAGAACAAGGAUCAGAAAACAAGGGACCAUAAGGACUCUUUUCUGAGUACAGUAACACACUUAUAAUAUUUAACAAGCAUAUAUAUCCAUGAUGCCUUAAUUUCCUGAUGAUUUACCAAAAACUUGAGGUACAAAAGGUGUCUCCUGAGAAGCUUGGUCAGAGCCUGACAAGUACAGAGGCGGAUGCUUGCAGCCAACCAUUUGACUGAGCACGGGGUCCCCAAUGAAGGAAUUAGAGAAAGGACUGAAGGAGCUGAAGGGGUUUGCAAUCCCAUAUGAGGAACAACAAAAUCAACCAACCAGACCCCCAGAGCUCCCAGGGACCAAACCACCAAUCAGAGUACACAUGUAGGGACCCAUGAACAAGAGAGGUGACAAAUACAAGGAUAAUCCUCAAUGCUUACAUGUCUGACACACUUUGUCAUCUCACCAGGUGAUCUAGUCUUUCCAAAUGGCUUGCUGUUCAAGUUCUCUUGUGAUUUCACCUGUGCCUGCUCUGCUCGGGAACUCCUGCAUCUGAUCCACUCAAGGUUGGGAAACAAUCUGUUCUAUCUUGGAGAUUCACUCGAAGGUCUCCAGGAUGGUCAUGGAAACUAGUAUUAGAGGCCAGCCAGCUUUCCUGAGCCUGAUUGUCAUCUUACAAGUUUAUAUAAUGCUGGCCUGGGGGUGGUAUCAGAUCUCCCUCCAAUAUACUUCAAGAAAAAAAUUCUCUGCCUCGUGGUGGUGGCCUCUAAUCCCACCCAGUAAUUGGGAGGUAGAGGCAGGUGCAUACAAAGCAAUAGGAUCUCCUAAAAGAAAGGGAUGGGCACGGAUAUAGGAUUUCUAUGAAAAUGAUGGAUUGAGAAGUACCUCUGAGAAAACCAUAUGGAAGGUGCCACUCUGAGCAUUCCAGGAAUCUCCUGUACAUGGCUGGAAGGAAUACUGGAGGACAGAGAAGAAGGAAGACUCUGUAGUCCCCAUCUUGUAUUGCUGCAUUGCCUUGGGGACAGUAAGGCCAUCAGCUGUUGUCUCACUGAGCAGAACACAGAAGAGUUAGCUACCAUGUCUUGGAGUUCUAAUAGAAGGAAUGUGAGCACCACAUAAAGACAGACCAACGUCAAUCAAAUGGGAAUGCACUGUCUUAGAAUUUUGAGAAGAAAACCAGCAAGCUGGAAACAAGGGCAGAGUGACUUUCUGUUUGCACGAGAUUGUCGCAAAACCUGUACAUUUCUAGUCACAGCACCAAUGGUAGUUCAAGGAGAGUAGCUAGUGUGAGAGACAUGAAGGGUUUCUACUGGGCAACCCGAAUCCACCUUCAGAAGCAGAUAGCCUGGCUACCUUUCUAACCCAACAUUCCUGAGAUUCUCAACUGCCUUAAAACUUUUCACUAAACCAAGAUUACUCUCUUUACUGUACAAUGAGAACAUGGCCUGGUCCUGAAUUUAAAAAGAAAUUCAAAAUAUUUCAGUUAGUUAUAUAAUACAGUGGAGAAAUAAAGACUUUAUAAUACUAUGGAUUUAUAAAAUAUUUCCUAUCAAAAAGAACUGUAUCCAGGAGAGCCCCAGCAGCCACAGAUAAACUAUCUUACACAUCCUCAGGCAUUCUCAACCCAGAAGACACGAGCCAAGGGCAGAAGUUUAAAGGAAGAGCAUAUCCCCAAAGGCUCUACAUAUUUUUUUCUUUUACACCCAUUGCUUCUCCAAUUCAAACAGACAAGGAAGAGUAGAUGGAAGAGAAAUUUGGAUGGUUUAGCGACUAUUUGCUGGAAAUGAGAUAUGAACAUCGUGAAAGCCACGGUCAAAAUGAGCAUUAAUCAAGAAGCUGACAGGGGAUAUCAAAAGUCAGAGCAGACUGCCCAAAGUCCAGGAACUGCUUCUACCACCAGAGGCACAGG